AACGAACGCUGGCGGCAGGCCUAACACAUGCAAGUCGAGCGCCCCGCAAGGGGAGCGGCGGACGGGUGAGUAACGCGUGGGAAUAUGCCCUUUGCUACGGAAUAGUCUCGGGAAACUGGGGGUAAUACCGUAUACGCCCUUUGGGGGAAAGAUUUAUCGGCGAAGGAUUAGCCCGCGUUGGAUUAGGUAGUUGGUGGGGUAAUGGCCUACCAAGCCGACGAUCCAUAGCUGGUUUGAGAGGAUGAUCAGCCACACUGGGACUGAGACACGGCCCAGACUCCUACGGGAGGCAGCAGUGGGGAAUCUUAGACAAUGGGGGCAACACUGAUCUAGCCAUGCCGCGUGAGUGAUGAAGGCCUUAGGGUUGUAAAGCUCUUUCAGCUGGGAAGAUAAUGACGGUACCAGCAGAAGAAGCCCCGGCUAACUCCGUG
rnacentral:rRNA from 1 species